rnacentral:rRNA from 1 species
GGUAGCGUAAUCACUUGUUCUUUAAAUGAGGACUAGUAUGAAUGGCACCACGAAGGUUUUACUGUCUCCUUUUCCUAAUCAGUGAAACUAAUCUUCCCGUGAAGAAGCGGGAAUAAGCGAAUAAGACGAGAAGACCCUAUGGAGCUUUAAACACAAUAACAAAUACUACUUUAAACAAAAAUUUCUUAAUGACUUACUCCCUGGUAUUAUGAUUAUUAGUUUUAGGUUGGGGUGACCGCGGAGAAAAACACAACCUCCACAUUGAAUGAUAAAAUUCUAAGCAAAGAAUCACAUUUCCACGCAUCAAUACAUUGACAUCAAUUGACCCAAUUAUUUUGAUCAACGAACCAAGUUACCCUAGGGAUAACAGCGCAAUCUACUUCAAGAGCCCAUAUCGACAAGUGGGUUUACGACCUCGAUGUUGGAUCAGGGUACCCCAGUGGUGCAGCCGCUACUAAAGGUUCGUUUGUUCAACGAUU